rnacentral:misc_RNA from 1 species
CUUUGUUCAAUGAUAUGAUUUAGAUGAUUAUCAAGCAUUUGGAAAAACCCACUUCAUUAGUAUCCAAAUUCUUACUUAGAUAGUAUAAAUUUGAAUGAGUCGUCAUGUGAAUUGUGAAAACAUGUCUACCCACAGAAAUGCUAAGGUGCAGUUGUUCCUUUUGCAUUGAGCCAUCGCCAGUGUCUGUUAUGGUGGGCCUGCAUGCCGGUCCUGCUUGGUGACCACUCAAUGAUUUGCUGCAAUGGCAAUUUAGCAACUUGUAUGGACACAACACAUGAAGCAGUGCUUGUCUGCCUAACUAUUGCAUUAUUCUUGUUGCACAUUCAAUUAGCUUGUUUAAAAUCCUUAAGAGGAAAAAAUAUUAAACAUUUAUUGGCAUUUUUCUUGGUUUUUGUCUUCUCUUAGUGUAGGAUUUCUUUCUUAUUGUUGACUAUUUUGACCAUUGUUUGGCAUGACGACAUGGCAUGUUGUGUUGGUUAGAAUGGUAGGUAGUAUUGUUGUUUCAGUACCAAUAUUAGUAUGUAGUAAAUAAUCUGAAAUUGAUUUGUUGUCUGCGAUCUUUUUAGAUCAUUUAUGUAGGAGAAGCAUAUCUCUUAAACAUGUAUUCCUCAAAGCUAUUCUAUUUAACUCUAUUGCGUUGUCUUUCUGCGAUAAUAAUUCUCAAACUUGCACUUCCUGGUGUAGCUCAUCCUUUUAUCUUUCAUCCUUCCCUUUUCCCCUUACAGCUUUUUGAGUAAGAAGUUCCAAUGCUGAUAUACUUGUAUACAAUCACAUUGAAACUUAGGUUCCAUUUAUUUUAUGGAAAAUAUUUUUUGAAAUUUUUUUUUUGUCCUUUGGGGUGCUUAGAGGAAUCAGUUAAUGGCAAAACCGAGUUUUUUUAUAUUCAAGGAUGUUGAAACUAAUGUAUUUGAG